CUGGGACCCACAGGAAUUCCCUCCCUUCAGUCCCGGGGGGAGGCGGCCGCGAUCCUGGGGGAGGCGCAGCCUCACAACCCGGACUUUGCGGGCGGGCGGGCACUGGUGAGAAGAGGAAGUGGGAGAGGCCUGGGAAGGAAACUUGGAAACCGAAAACUCGGCGGCCGAGGCUCCGUGCCCCGCGCGCAGCGCUGCUCCUGCCCCGGCCAAGGACGCACGGGCCAGCCGGCGGAACCAGAGGUUUUCAGUGAUGUUGAGAGUCAACAGGAAAUUAAUCAGCAAGUAGAAAAUUGAAAGAAGAUCUGCAUCUUACUGCAGGAGUCAUUAAAAUAAAAGCAGAUUUGGCAAAAUGGCAAGCACAGUUAUGGCAAAGGAGCUAUCCUGUACCAACACGAAGGAGAGAGUGGUAAAGGACCCCACAGAAAUGGAGGGAAUGAUAUUGACACAAAAAUGGCAACAAGAUCUAACUCCAGCGUCAAACUGAAGUAACAGCAGCUGCAGCAACUAAGAAUCUCAUUCUGUCCCCCCAGCUGGAGCACAGUGGUAUGAUCUCGGCUCACUGCAACCUCCGCCUCCCGGGUUCAAGUGAUUCUCCUGCCUCAGCCUCCCAAGUAGCUGGGACUACAGGUGCCUGCCACCAUGCCUGGCUGAUUUUUGUAUUUUUAGUAGAGACUGGGUUUCACCAUAUUGGCCAGGCUGGUCUUGAACUCCUGAACUUGUGAUCCGCCCGCCUCAGCCUCCCAAAGUACAUUAAUAACUUUUUAAAACUCUGAAUAUAAUAGGCAUUAAAGAUUUCUAGAAUGCCAUGGGUUCUGAGUCAU
rnacentral:lncRNA from 1 species